rnacentral:rRNA from 1 species
AACGAACGCUGGCGGCGUGGAUAAGACAUGCAAGUCGAACGGGACAGACCGAGUAGCAAUAUUUGGAAUGUUCAGUGGCGAACGGGUGCGUAACACGUGGAUAACAUUCCGGAAAGCGGGGAAUAGCCCAGGGAAACUUGGAUUAAUACCGCAUGUGGCCGCAAGGCUAAAGACGGGGACCGCAAGGCCUGCCACUUUCCGAUUGGUCCGCGGCCUAUCAGCUAGUUGGCGGGGUAAUGGCCCACCAAGGCUACGACGGGUAGCUGGUCUUAGAGGACGACCAGCCACACUGGAACUGAGACACGGUCCAGACACCUACGGGUGGCAGCAGUCGAGAAUCUUUCACAAUGGGGGCAACCCUGAUGGAGCGACGCCGCGUGGAGGAUAAGGUCUUCGGAUUGUAAACUCCUGUCAUGCGAGAACAAGGUACUCAGGCUAAUAACCUGAUUGUUUGAUGGUACCGCAAGAGGAAGAGACGGCCAACUCUGUGCCAGCCGCCGCAGUAACAC